GGGGAAGUGGUCCAGCCGCGGAAUGCCAUCGUCAUCUGAUCACCCUGCGCUUCUGAGUCAGUGGGCCUGGCAGAACCAAGGGCACUUCAGAGAGUCUUAUUGGAACAGCACUGUGCAGACUCUGGGCUUAGAGAGCUGAGCAAGACAGUGGAGUCCCUCUGGAGACCCAGAGACAAGAGGAAAGCAAAGACCAGCUAUGAAAGCACAUCCAAAGGCCUGAGCAUUCCCAGGGAUGAUCUGCAGAGGACCUGGACAUGGUUGAUGCAAAUCUUGGUGGACACUAUAGGAUGUGUUAGGUUCAGGCCCACAGGACAGGAUCAGAGUUCACAGCACAAAGACCCUGUUCUCUGCCAGGGUCUGAGCACUUUCAGGGAACACUUCCCAGAGUUUUCCACUCACAGAGCCUGGUGAGUAGCUUUGCUAAACAUCAAGAAAUCAUCCUGGGGAUUGAAUUAAAAGGUUGGCAAGCCGAGAAGUCUUGGGAUCCUCUGGACUAGGAUACCCCUUUCAAGAGGGGAGAUAAGUUAUCAGGCUUUCAGGCUCUUGAUAAAUGUCUUACAGAUGGGUGAUUAUGAAAUGGCUGUGUUGUCACUUUACAGACCUGCGUUCCUGCCGAAUGCACACAGACUUGGAUCCUCUGAAAGUCUGUUGAGGUUAGCACUACCUCCCGCGUAGAUGCUCUUUAACACAGUGUGACUAUUGCAGGUCUUGCAGGUCGGCUGCCUCUGGGGAGGGGUAAAAUGUGCUUCGUGC
rnacentral:lncRNA from 10 species